UACGUAGGGGGCAAGCGUUGUCCGGAUUUAUUGGGUUUAAAGGGUGCGUAGGCGGUCUAUUAAGUCAGUGCUGAAAUAUCCCGGCUUAACCGGGAGGGUGGCAUUGAUACUGAUGGACUUGAGUGCAGUCGAGGUAGGCGGAAUUGACGGUGUAGCGGUGAAAUGCUUAGAUAUCGUCAAGAACACCGAUAGUGAAGACAGCUUACUAGACUGUAACUGACGCUGAGGCACGAAAGUGUGGGGAUCAAACAGG
rnacentral:rRNA from 1 species